rnacentral:lncRNA from 1 species
CUGCAGACCUGCAAUACCUAGGAAAGUGUUCCCAGUUCCCUCUAGACCUGUAGGCAGACUGGGUUUCUCCAAGCUCUUCAAAACUUGUCUGUGAAGGAUUACUUCCCAGAAUAUGUCCUCAAGAAGCUGCCUGGCCAGGCUGGGAUGAAGGUGGCAGUGGAGCAGGAGUGAUCCCCUUUGGAUUUCCCCAGAUUAGACCGCGGAGUGUACAGACAGGAAGCUGAAGUAUUGAGCGCCUGACCAGAGCUUCCUCCUGUGCAAGAGUGGGGGUUUCUCCAACUUGAAUCUUUAGCUCUACAAGCACAGUCCGAGUCUUGAAGUCCAAGGGAUAAAGAGCACCCAAAUCUUUCAGCUGGGUCCUCCGAGCGUGGAGAAUGGAGUACUGCACUUAAGCCCUGCUUGCAAGGUCAGCAAAACAGUUCUCACCUCUCCCUGCUGCUGCUUACCUUCCUGGCUCCUUAUCAAGCAGGGAAUCAGAAAGGGACUUUCCAGAGCUAUAAACAUGUGAGCUGAAGAGAUGGAAUGAACCCUUAUGCAAAUGAGUCUUGAUUCCCUUCCCUUUAUAAAGAUAAAAAGUUUUUGAGAGAGCAACGGCUCCUCCAGAAUGUGGGUGUCCGGAGUUAUUGCCUCGGACUGGCUGGAUCUCUCUGUGCUAUCUGUCUGUCUGUCCGCCUUUCUUUCUGCUUGUCUGUCUUUCCAUUGUAGAGAACAAAGCGGAGUGAUGUAAAAUAGAAAAUGAGACAAGCAAACCUUUGGUGAUUGAAGAGGAGGAAGGAAAAUGAAAGAGAAAAAGCUGAAGAGUGGGAAAAAGAUAAAAUAAAAUGAAUUUUGGGGAUUCCACUGUGAGUAAGAGCUGAAAAAAAAGUAAGCUGAUUUAUUACAUGUUUAUCUUCUGCCUGCGAGUCAGUGUGCCUUGUAUAUGCGAGGGGUGAACUGCACAUUAAAGAUUGAAUCAAAAAGCCAAAUUCUUCCUCAAUUCCUCCAGCUUUAAACGAGCAUAAUUCUGACAGCUCCGAUGGAUUUACAUUUUGUAAACAGCAGCGGAAUCAAGAUCAAGUCCUUUAAGUCAUUUUGAGUCAUAUUUAUGCUGAAGUUAUGAGAAAUUUAGAAUGACUUUUAAAUAACGUUUGUCAGGGAAGCUGCACAUUUUCUAACGCUUCUCUUCACUGGGCAGGAAUUUUGCUAUGGUCAUUGCAGUGUUGUUAUGACUUUAUUCUGAAUCCAAUGGCAGUACAGAAAGAAGGGGUGAUGUUAUCGUUAUGUGCAUCCAUAUUUUCCUUGCAUUAUGACUUAUGUAUAUUCAUUUUUAUUUUAAAUGUGUAUUUUAACAACCGUUUAAACAGGGAGAUGGCAUGAGCUAGUUGAUGUAAGUAUUUUUUUUUCUCUCCAUCAAAUGCCACUGAUUUUGAAAAUGCAGUGUUUGACUGCAGCCGGAGGGUUUAGCUGGCUACACCUUGCUUUCUUUCACAUUAAUCCUUUACUCUUUUGCAGGUUUAUUUCUUCCUUUGCGUGCUCUGAGCUUAUCUGGGCAUCCAAAAGUUUGUUUUAUAGUAUGGAAGAAGAGGGACAGAGGAAGCACCGCAGGUUUUCUUGAUGAAAUUUCCAAGCUUUUGCAGGUGUGGAGACGGGCUUCUGGAGCCUGCAGAAUAAGGCAGCUCCCAUCCCUCUCUUUCUCCACCUAAUCAGACAGUUUCUCUUACUCUUCCUUUUUCUGAACAGUUUGUUCGCUAAAAAAUGCUGUUUCGAAUGAACUGAAAUUAUUGACAGAGCUGAAUGGAGUGGUGCAAAUAGUACUGGGUAAACCAUCAAAAAAAUAUUUUGACAUUUGUAGAAUUAAAUCCUAAUUCUUUCUUUGAAAGUGCUUUUUUUCAUUUUCAUGUUCUUCUUAUCGUUUUUAUGCAGCAAUAAUGACAGCAAAGAAGAAACGAAGUAUUUUGUUUUAGGCCAAGAAAUACGUUCUAGUGCAGCUCAAAUUAUUUGCUUAUUUAUUUAUUGUUCAGAAAAGAACAAAAGUCACUCCAGGUUCCACCAAAUGGCAUUUUCCUUUUCCUUUCUUUCUUCUUUUUUUUUUUUUGAUUAGUAGAGGAAAACAUGGCUAAUUGCCACAGCCAAAAGUCCAUACCAUUGUCAGGACCAGCUGUAUUUCAGCUAUGUUAAUCUGGCAGAAUACUGAGCAUUCAUUUUCUGUGGGAAAUGAUGAUUAAAAAAGGGAAUUAUUUUUGAUAAGAAAAACGUACCCUUUUCUGUGCUUUUAUUGGUCAGAUUAAAUAUAUAAUCCACCUUUUCCCAUAAUCAGGGAAAGAAAAAAAAAAAAAAAAGGAGGAGAAAAGUCAGCUUUCAUUAUUGAAAUAGAUUUUCUGGAAGAUUUUUGACCCAAUUCCCUAACAUGAAAGGCUGCAGCUACUCUCUCCUGCAGUGUUUCAGAUGCCUGUGCUCCAUCGCAGCUUCCAUUGGGGCUGAGCGCUUCCCUUGGGCAGCAGAGCCUGGAGCUCCUGGAGCCAUGGGAUGAGGCUGCGGUGGGGACUCUUUGGCAGGACAGAGGUUUCAAGUGUGUCAGUGACUGCCUGUGGUCUUUGUGGGGGGAUUCAGUAAGGAAAAGUAUGGAAAACAGAGAGCUGCAGAAAACUAUUUCAAAGCUUGGAUUCUGUAGUGCAUGCUGGAUAGCCAAGUCCUCACCGGCAACUUGAGCAAUGUCAUGUCAAAAGUCUGUGUAGAAAUCAAAGAAUGUCUUUACUUUUCACUGUAAUCAUUUGUAGCAGUUAAUACAUUUGAUUAAAUGUUCGAGAGUUGGUCAUGUUGAAUCUGAAUGGCACCUAGAACUAUUUUCUUUAAAAUCAGCCCCGGUGAGCUCAAGGGGAGCCAGAUUUAACAUCGUGGUGAGCGUAUCCUGGUGGAAGGCAGGCUGGCUCCCCGCAGGCUGUCUGCAUCAGCGCUUCUCAGCCUUCUCUAAUGGGGCCUUCUUGGAAAAGCCGUGGCUGGACCAUUUCCCACGCACAACAAGGAGCCGUCUGCACCUGCAGGCGCUCACUGGCAGCAUCCAGAGAGCGGCUCCCGGCUCCGUCUGCCAGCACUGGUGCUUCUCUGCCAAAUGGAGCAGACAUGUGGUUUGUAUCUUCUAAAUGAGCUCGUGCAUAGAGCAGGUUCUGGCGUCCGACAGCAAACAGUGGGCUGCAGCCCACGGGCUGUGUAACACCCAUCCAGCUCCCGGCGCUGUCACGCCUGCACCUGGUCAUGAGCCAGAGCUCUCGGGCUGUUGCAUUCGCUGCUGUGUGCCGGUCUCUGCAUAACUACGGCCAGUUUGCACUGCACUUGAGCUGUUUCAUUAUUCUAAUUUUAAUUGUAGUUGAUUUCAGUGAAUUAAUGUUGAAAUGGGCUAUCUAUGAACUGAAAGUGUGCUUGCUCUUCACAGCUUAUUUUCAGUAGCUGCAGUAUUGUUAGAGUAUAAAUACAGCCAUCUCUUCUGGAAUCGUAGGAUCACUGGAGUUUGAAGGGAUGUUUAAAGGUCUUUGAUUCCAAUUCCCCUUUCCAGAUUUCAACUCCAGCUUUUAUAUUUCAAGUAUUUAGAUACUGAACCUGUCUGAAGAAAAAAUAUCUCCGGCUUCUAAUGGAUUUCUAACAUUACAAUUGUUUAUUAUAAUAAAUAAUUGAAUAAUAAUAGCCUAAUAUAAAAAAGAAUGAAAUCCUUGCUGAGUGAUCAUGGCAUUCCUUUUUUAAAUAAUGCAAUAAUUACAAAAACAUUUUAGUUAAUUAAAACUUUAAGUUAAUGUUUGCCUGUUUUUCAACUAUUUAUGCAGAGCCUAAUCAUUUUGGGUUAGUGAUACAGAGCACAGCAGCUGCACAGGGACAAAGACUUGUAAGUACCUGUGCCAUUGCCACAGAUGGAACAAUGCCAGUUCUUUUGAGUUCUUAAAAAUGUGGAAAUUGAAAGGGAGCAAGGAAUGGCCAUCUACUCUCUCCUGUUUGCUUUACCCACCUCUCCCUAUGUUGCUGGUUGUUUAGAUUGUAUCUGACAUGUAUGGCCGGACCAGACUUUUCUGGUGCUUGGUUCCACUAUGUGCAUCAGGAACUGGUUUGGGUGAGCAGUCCAUAGUGCCACGUGUUGGGACGCAGCACGUGCCUUGCACCCAGCAUCUGCAGCACAUGCCUGGUUGGAUAUCUGAGCCAAGGGAGGAAGCGCUGCUGGAUCUGGGACCGGCUCCAUACACGAGACUUGGAGAGUCACUGCCACAGCAGGGCUGGGCUGCAGACAGAUAUCUUACUUUACAUCAGCAAAGAUCUCCUUGCACCUGGAGGAAAGCCAAGCACCGGGGAGAGAGAGCAGAGGAUGAGAUACUGCUGCACAUCAGAACGGCCUUGAAACGAAUGUCGUGUAUCCUCAGCUUUGAGAACUGAAUUCCAUGGGUUGUAAUUGAAUCCUUUGUCAGACCCAUGGGGCUCAGUUCUUCAGCUUGGAUAUUUCUGUCUUCACAUACACGGGAGAUCAAAGAAGCACUUGAUCAUGCGCUGACUCUUCCGGAUUCUGAUAGCAGCAAAUAGGAAAGAGAAAGAAUAACUGAUGUGAAUCACUCUGACAGGGAGGUUUCACUGCAAAGACCAGGCUCUCUCAUGUCGAGUAGCUGCGCAGUGAUUGAACCUCUCCGUGGCUGAUAGUCUGUCCCUGCAUUGCUGCUCGCUGGUUAAUUCAACUCUCCUCUCAGUUUUAUCGAAGUUACAUAUCAAGUGCUGAGAUGAUGCUGACUGACUUAUGCUUCCCAAAAAUUGUGUGGUGCUGCUGAAUGUGGCUCUGCUCCCACAUGGGACCAGCAACACCCCAGCCCUGCCAAGUCUACCCACUGUUGGUCUGCUGCAGCCUCCUGUCUGGGAUCACUGCUGCACAGCUACUGUUUGCUCUUUUUUGGCCCCCUUGAGGUGGACCCAUUCAAGUUGUGGGCUGAAAAAGUUUGUGUUUCUUCCUUGGAAGAUCUGUGUUAAAGUUUAUUUUCUUUCAGGCGUCAGGAAAAUAAAAUUUAUGGUCUUCAAACAUGUAAAGAGGUAUAAUUACCAACGAGAUUUCUACUUCAUUCCUGCAAUAAUAACCCUUCCUAAAUUACAUUUUUCAAACUCAGUAAAAUGGAUCAGUCACUGAUCUCAUCCCUGUGGUGCAAUGCUGUUAAAAGCACAGGAAUAUUAAAAUCCCACAGGUGCAGGAGGAGCGUGUUCAGCUAAGUAGUUUAAAGCUGCUGUGUGCCUUUUAUUCUGAAAAUGUAUUUACACUAAAAAUAAUCAGAUGUAAUCACUGUUGCCUGUGGAUACAGAUGUACCUUUGUACCGAUGUGCUUUUCAUAUAAAUUUUAUUCCAGGGUUUGAAGGGUUUCUUUGUGGCUGUCUGAAACAUAUCAUGCUGCCCAGUUGUGAGACGACGGAUCUUGGAAGGACUCACCAGUCCCACCAGCUCCUGCUGGGAGAUAUCCAUUAAACAAGAAGAAGGAGAAACAUACACAAACGAAAGCGAAAUUCUGAAGUUUCAUUUCUGCUGUACACCCUGUCAAAGAGAGGGAAUUAAAUUGGAGAGUCAUUCAGGUGAAUUCAGCUGUAUUCGUUGCUGCUGUAAACUUGAAACUCAAUUUUGGGCCAAGUAAAGCAUUUGCUAGAAAAUAUUACCCCUCUCUCUAUCUUUUUCUAGCUGAUUUAUGCCACAUUCUGGUGCUUAUUCACAGAUCUCAGCCUGUGCAUUUUGUUCAGGUAAAGCAAUGGGCUGAGUC